rnacentral:sRNA from 1 species
AAAUGAGAAAUCAAAGUCUGAAUUUGGUAGGUUGGUGGAAGUCCCCUUGGCCCAAUAGUUGAUCAAGGAUUCAUUAAUGUUUCUACACCAAGAGGUAUGGGGUUAGAGUCUCAGCUACUGAGAUUUAUUAGCAGAUUUACUGAUUAAUGGAGACAAGUGUGCAAGAGAUUUCCAACUAUGUACAAUUAUAGUCGCUUGCCAGGAUUCUACGCAAAGAAUAUUGAAGAUCUCCAUCAAAAGCGUGAAGAAAGAGAAGAAGGUGUCGUCUAGGUUGAUUAUAAAAUAAUUCCAUGCUUGGGUUCAAAACCUAGGUAAAAUUAAAUGAUUGAAA